rnacentral:rRNA from 1 species
UACGUAGGUGACAAGCGUUGUCCGGAUUUACUGGGCGUAAAGCGUGCGUAGACGGCUAUCUAAGUCGGGUGUGAAAGCCCCGGGCUCAACCUGGGAAUUGCAUUCGAGACUGAAUAGCUAGGGUACGGUAGAGGGAAGCGGAAUUUCCGGUGUAGCGGUGAAAUGCGUAGAUAUCGGAAGGAACAUCAGUGGCGAAAGCGGCUUCCUGGACCAGUACCGACGUUCAGGCACGAAAGCGUGGGGAGCAAACAGG